rnacentral:ncRNA from 1 species
GAUCCGUUGCCGGGCAGAUCACAGGACACCGGCGGAGCCUUCCGCAGCCGAGUUCAGCGGCAUGGUGUCUGCGGUCGCUCGUUGGAGCAGGGUCUGAAAGCCCCCACACCGCUUCGUACUGACC